CCCUUAGAUGGUCUGGGCGGCACGCGCGCUACAAUGAUGCAUUCAAAAAGUCUUCUGACCUUAGAAGGUUGGGUAUUCUCCAAAGUGCAUCGUGAUGGGAAUAGUUUAUUGCAAUUUUUAAUCUUGAACGAGGAAUUCCUAGUAAGUACAGGUCAUCAACUUGUGUUGAUUACGCCCCUGCCCUUUGUACACACCGCCCGUCGCUCCUACUGAUUGAGUGUCUCGGUGAAUUCUUUGAUCUUCUGUCGAUUCAGUUCACUGAUCCGACGGUGGAAAGUUGAAUGAACUUCGUCACUUAGAGGAAGGAGAAGUCGUAACA
rnacentral:rRNA from 1 species